GAUGAAGAACGUAGCGAAAUGCGAUACGUAAUGUGAAUUGCAGAAUUCAGUGAAUCAUCGAAUCUUUGAACGCAUAUUGCGCUCUCUGGUAUUCCGGAGAGCAUGCUUGUUUGAGUAUCAGUAAACACCUCAACUUCCAUAUCUUUUUUGAAAUGGGAGUUGGACUUGAGUGAUCCCAACGCUUUUCCUCACCGAAAAGUGGCGGGUUACUUGAAAUGCAGGUGCAGCUGGACUUUUCUCUGGGCUAUAAGCAUAUCUAUUUAGUCUGCCUAAAAAACAGAUUAUUACCUUUGCUGCAGCUAACAUAAAGGAGAUUAGUUCUUGUGCUGACUGAUGCAGGAUUCACAAAGACAGCUUCGGCCGACUUUGUAAACUCGAUCUCAAAUCAAGUAAGACUACCCGCUGAACUUAAGCAUAUCAAUAAGCGGAGGA
rnacentral:misc_RNA from 1 species